GGAGAGGUGGCUCAGUGGUUAAGAGCACUGGCUGCUUUUCCAGAGGUCCAGGGUUUGAUUCCCAGACCUACCCA
rfam:Rattus norvegicus chromosome 20, whole genome shotgun sequence.